CGUAGGGUGCGAGCGUUAAUCGGGAUUACUGGGCGUAAAGUGUGCGCAGGUGGCCGCGCAUGUCGAGUGUGAAAUCCCCGGGCUUAACUUGGGAAUUGCGCUCGAAACUACGUGGCUAGAGUGUGGCAGAGGAAGGUGGAAUUCCACGUGUAGCGGUGAAAUGCGUAGAGAUGUGGAGGAACACCGAUGGCGAAGGCAGCCUUCUGGGCCAACACUGACGCUCAUGCACGAAAGCGUGGGGAGCAAACAGGAUUAGAUACCCUGGUAGUCCACGCCCUAAACGAUGAUGACUAGUUGUUGGAGGAGUUAAAUCCUUUAGUAACGCAGCUAACGCGUGAAGUCAUCCGCCUGGGGAGUACGGUCGCAAGAUUA
rnacentral:rRNA from 1 species